rnacentral:rRNA from 1 species
CGUUACUCAGUUCAGAUUGCAGGCUGCAACCCGCCUGCAUGAAGUCGGAAUUGCUAGUAAUCGCGGAUCAGCAUGCCGCGGUGAAUACGUUCCCGGGCCUUGUACACACCGCCCGUCACACCAUGGGAGCCGGUAAUACCCGAAGUCAGUAGUCCAACCACGUGAGGACGCUGCCGAAGGUAGGAUUGGCGACUGGGGUGAAGUCGUAACAAGGUAAC